AGGGAGAAGUGUUUCUUUUCCCCUCAGCUCUGAUGCACCCCAGAAGGAGGACUUGGAGGAAUCAAAUUCCCAGAAGGAGGAGGGACGACACCUUUGCAAAAUACACAUUCACAUGAAUGCGCCCCACAUGCACGCAUAUAGCCACAAUGCAUUGUAUCAGUAUAAAUGGGGAGGAUAACUUAGGUAGGAGGGUCUUUUUGGCUGAA